CACGUAGGGGGCGAGCGUUGUCCGGAUUUAUUGGGCGUAAAGAGCUCGUAGGCGGCUCAGUAAGUCAGGUGUGAAAACUCCAGGCUCAACCUGGAGACGCCACUUGAUACUGCUGUGGCUAGAGUCCGGUAGGGGAGCAUGGAAUUCCUGGUGUAGCGGUGAAAUGCGCAGAUAUCAGGAGGAACACCGGUGGCGAAGGCGGGUCUCUGGGCCGAUACUGACGCUGAGGAGCGAAAGCGUGGGGAGCGAACAGG
rnacentral:rRNA from 1 species